GCCAAUGUGGCUUAAUGGUAGAGCAUUACUUUCUUAUCAUCUUCUGACCAGAUAUGAGAUAGCUAUAGGUGAAGGUUGUGGGUUCAAUCCCUGUUGUUGAUU